rnacentral:rRNA from 1 species
CUACGGGAUGCAGCAGGCGCGAAACCUUUACAAUGCGGGAAACCGUGAUAAGGGAAUCCAAAGUGCUCAAGUUUACUUGGGCUUUUGCCAUGAGCAAAAAUCAUGGCGAAUAAGUGGUGGGUAAGACUGGUGCCAGCCGCCGCGGUAACACCAGCGCCACGAGUGGGAAUCAUGUUUAUUUGGCCUAAAGCGUCCGUAGCCGGUUCAGUAAAUCUUUUGUGAAAUCAUCAGGCUUAACCUGAUGGCGUGCAGAAGACACUGCUGAACUUGGAACCGGGAGGAGUCAGAGGUAUGGGAUGGGGAGCGGUAAAAUGCGAUAAUCCAUUCUAGACCACCUGUGGCGAAGGCGUCUGACUAGAACGGAUUCGACGGUGAGGGACGAAAGCCAGGGGAGCGAUCCGGAUUAGAUACCCCGGUAGUC